rnacentral:rRNA from 1 species
GACGAACGCUGGCGGCGUGCCUAAUACAUGCAAGUAGAACGCUGAAGGAGGAGCUUGCUUCUCUGGAUGAGUUGCGAACGGGUGAGUAACGCGUAGGUAACCUGCCUGGUAGCGGGGGAUAACUAUUGGAAACGAUAGCUAAUACCGCAUAAGAGUAGAUGUUGCAUGACAUUUGCUUAAAAGGUGCAAUUGCAUCACUACCAGAUGGACCUGCGUUGUAUUUGCUAGUUGGUGAGGUAACGGCUCACCAAGGCAACGAUACAUAGCCGACCUGAGAGGGUGAUCGGCCACACUGGGACUGAGACACGGCCCAGACUCCUACGGGAGGCAGCAGUAGGGAAUCUUCGGCAAUGGACGGAAGUCUGACCGAGCAACGCCGCGUGAGUGAAGAAGGUUUUCGGAUCGUAAAGCUCUGUUGUAAGAGAAGAACGAGUGUGAGAGUGGAAAGUUCACACUGUGACGGUAUCUUACCAGAAAGGGACGGCUAACUACGUG